rnacentral:rRNA from 1 species
UGAAUUUAAGCAUAUAAGUAAGCGGAGGAUAAGAAACUAAAUAGGAUUCCCUCAGUAAUGGCGAAUGAACAGGGAGAAGCUCAACAUGGAAAUUGGGGCCCAUGGCCUUGAAUUGUAAUCUCAAGAUGUAUUGCUAAUGGGGGCGCAGGUGUAAGCCUCUUGGAAAAGAGAAUCAAUGACGGUGAGAAUCCUGUUUGUCACCUGCAGACCUCCGUGUACGGCGUACAUUCUAAGAGUCACGUUCCUCGGGAUUGGAGCGCAAACUGGGUGGUAAAUUUCAUCUCAAGCUAAAUAUGGGUUCGAAACCGAUAGCAAACAAGUACCAUGAGGGAAAGAUGAAAAGGACUUUGAAAAGAGAGUUAAAAGUGCCUGAACUUGCUGAAAGGAAAGCGGAUGGAACCAGUGCUGCUUGGCGAGAUUGUUGCGCGCUUCAGUGAUUCCCCGUUGCAUCAGCGCAAGCGUUGCUUUGGGUCCUGAUCUGGCUGCGCGUGAUGCUUCUUGCCUUGUUUGUCACCGUCGGCUUCUUAGUGGGGAUACCUCUUGGGACAUGACAGCCUGCCCCUGGGUGGGCGAAUGUGCCUUGUAGAACUCACUUGGAAUCCGCGCCCGUUGCUCAGGUUCGCGUAUCACGGAUCUCAUUCGGGUACCACCCUGAACACAUGCAUGGUGACUGAAUGGUUCUAUUCGACCCGUCUUGAAACACGG